ensembl:lncRNA
GUGCAAUUGAAAAGACAAAAAAAAUUAAAAAAUCAAGUAAGAAUACAUUUGCAUAUUAUAUCAUCAAAACAAAAUAUCCAAAGUGGUCUAAUACAGAAUAGAAAUGGUAGGUUUAUUCUUUUUUUCAAACUGGUAUGAGAAAAAUGAUGCACAGCUCUGAAGGCCACUAGUGUAAAGUUGUCCAAACUUCCCUUAAAUGAAACUUAAGAACAACAGAACUGUUUCUGACCCAGAAAAGCUGCCGUCAUCAACCAGCACAGAGCUGUCAGUAACCUCCCAGACGUAGUGGCUUUUGUUUUUACUGCAUUUCGGCUGCAUUUAGACGUCGCUCCUCUCAGAUUUGCUUCCUGCAUCGUUCCUGUGGGAGAAAUACAGGAACUGUACGGCCCAAGACUCUAAGCAGAAGUGAUUUUAUUUAUUUAUUCAUUUGCUAUUUAUCGAGCACGUGUUUGGCACUUGUUUGGAACUUUUGUUUCGAACCUGUAUUCUGCGUAAUGGACACCAGGGGGCGACUCCUGUGUUUGCAGAAAGACUUCUGGUCUUAUAGAAACGCCUGAUGAGUUUAGAGCUUUGGUUUCUAGUUUCAGGUCAUACAGAAUAAAAUAUUUGGGGUUAUUUUAUAAAUCAAGUUCAGUGAGAAGCUCAUUGGCUGAGGACUCAGUCAAUCACAAGUCGUCAGCCAAUGAGUGCGUGGCUUCGUCCGUCACACCUGGCUUAACUAACCAGCGAGUAUCAUCAUCGUCCAUGUUUAAAUGUCACACUGUGAGAGAUGGCUCUUACUAACCUUCUUUAAAGCCAUGAGAUGACUUCUUUUUAAAGCAUUUACAAGAUAUUCAUCUUGUUCACAAGACUGUUAACUUUUUGUUUAAAGACUAAAAUUGUGCCACGUGUUUCAAACUUCAUGCUUCAUCACAGCCACAAACAAAAUGUCCAGUUUGUGUAAAAAACACAAAUCUGAGUCUUGAUCUUAAAAGCUAAGCAGGUUCGGCCUGGUCAGUAUGCUGAACACCAGGUUAGGAGGUCUGCUGCAGUUUUCUUCCUGUUAAAAGGGAGUUUUUCCUCCCCACUGUUGCCUCAAAGGGGGAUGUAAUUGUUGUGUCUUUACCUUUAUCAUUGUUGUGAUUUGGCAGUAUAUAAAUAAAACUGAAUCAGUUUAUUUUUUUACAAACUGCUGUGAGACUGCACCAUGUCCAUAUGCAACAUGCAUGCAAGGCUUUCUUCUUUGUCAGAGCAACGUGUAAAAUCUUAUCUCUAAUUGUUUUGGAGGUCAAAAGUUCUUUUAUAGCCGCUAAGCACCCUGCUUUGACACUUAUCAGUUCACCUUAUAGGUACUCAUGUAAUUUUGCAUUUAACCUCCAAGGACCUGGCGUCCACAUAUGCGGACAUCGCAUUUUAGGUUGUCUAGACCAAAAUACUACAUUUUCUCAUUUUCGUCAAAAACAAAAAACAGGUAAUUCAUCAGGUCCCAAUCAGCCCAAAUAGCAAAGAGGGUGCAUGCCAUGAAAGAGUUCGUGUCUUAGGAGGAGAUUAAGAAGAUUUUGGAAAGACAGUUUGAGAGUCGCAUCAAAACCCUGCAAAUUGUGAGGUUCCAUCAAACAGCAAAAAAUUAGCAGGUUAAAUAUUGCAGUGUGUGGACAGCGUGUCUUCUUCCAUUGUUGGUGCUUCUGCCCUGUAGCUGCUCCCCCAACUGGAACUGUAAAAGCAAUAUCAGCCGCUGUUUGGAGGGGUGGUUUUUGAAGAGAGAAAAUUUAGUACCCCCCAGCUACUGCGCUGAUUUUCUAUCAGUCUUGGCUCCAUGGAUCGAGGCCGCUGAGCAAUGAGUGCAUGUAAAUGCAGCCCUCCACACAGUUAUUACCGACAGCUUUGUGCUGCGUUUUGACAGCCAUAGCGAGAAAAGCACGACCAAAUUAAAAGAAUUGCAUUGAAAGAAACAUCUGUACUGUAAAAGGCCAAGGCACAAAUAAUUUGUAGCAAUCAAAAUGUCCAUAAAAUUACAGGUUAUGCAGAAUGUGCCGAUCAGUGCAUUGCUUGGUAUGCAGUUACAGUGAAUACAACCCUAACAGAAUAAUCACAGCGAGUACUAUUGUCCUCUUAACUACACGGAUGCCAUAAAGUGCUCCUUUUCAUUCAGAAUCGAUGCACAUGCAGACGAGUUCACACACAGAGAGCUGAAAAAAUAAAUGACGCACAGUGUAAGUGCACACAUGUGUUUUAGAGGGCAGAAAUGUGGAGAAAAUGCUCGUUUUAGGUGCACACGUGUUUCGAUUAAUGGCAUUGAAUUUUGGGGAAAGAGUCAGAUUCAAGCCAACGAGAAACAGUCACGUGAUCGAGUAUUUGCUGAUGUGCUGAGCAUUUUAAAGUUAUUUUUCCAGUUUCUCCAAGACUUGGCUGCUACAACAAGUACCAAGUUGAGCCAGUUUUUACAUGAAAUUAGUCAAUAUCUUAAUCCCGACACACAACACUGAUACCAAGAGUGUUUCCACACACAAAACUUUGUCAAAAUCUACGUUUGUGGGGGGAUUUUAAGCCUCUUUGGCUGUUAAAUCUAACUCAUAGAGUACUGUUUAAAACAGUGUUAAAGGAGUGCUUCAUACAGGACUGUUCCUCAGAAUCACCAAAUGAAUAACAGCUGCAAUGCAAAGAGUGCAGACACAUACAGUGUUAUAUGGCAAAAAACACACUCAAACUGAAAUAAUCCUUCAUCCUCAAAGUAACAGAUAUUAAAUUGCUAAAACAAAGUGGAUCUAUUCUGCUCAUAUUUUAUACUUGGGCUCUUCUAGAGUAGCUUUGCACAAUUCAGAGUUCAAAAUAAUCCCCCUUUAUCUUCUAUCAGUGAGCUCUUUUAGCUCCUCCCACUUUGAGCAAACUUUGCAUUGACGGGCUGCCCCUCCCAAACAAAUUAGAGCAGGUGGGCGGGGCUUACUGUGCCUUAGAUGGCCAUAUUAAGGAUAUCUAAUCUCCGUGACAUCAUACAAACCCAAGCAGAGAGAAAAAAGCAGCAUUAAUUCACAGGGAUUCGCCGUUCAUACACUGGCAGAAGGCAGAACGGAUCCACUUUAACCAUCACAUUAAUUCACCAGUAUGUGUGUUGGUCAGAGUUUGUGUUUUGGAGGUUACGCAGACAAAUGCAAUGUCGAAAAUAAAGAAUAAGGUUGAAGUCUGUACUGUGCACUGAUGCCUGAAAAGGUGAUUUUUCAAAUGCAAGUCAAAAAAUAGCUCUGAGCUGUCACACAGCAUCCCCCCUUAUUGUCAAAUAAUGAGCACACUGUUUAAGCUUUAAGAAUUAAAUAGCCAAUCAUGAUCACCCGAGGUCAGCAACUUCAUUUCAUCCCAUCACACUGAUUCAGAAAAAUAAAAAAGACAAAUUGGUGACAAAGCCAUGAGUACAUGAGAGAACAUCGGGUUAGUAAAUGUUUAACUCCUCCAGUGACCUCAUCAGCUGAUUAAAACCUCGUCUACAAGCCAGAGAAGCAAAGGGCUCAUUCACAGGGCAAAGUAAUGGGACGAGUCACCAAAACCCAUUCAAAGUCACUCUUGUGUCCGUUUACAGUAUAAAGUAAACGGAGACAUAAAGUAAAAUAGGCCUGGUGCCAAGUGUGCAAAUUGAUUCAACUUCACUGGAGUGACUCCUAGUUUUGGCUCUGCAGGUUUUACUGGAGUUCCUCACACCUCAAAUCCCCUUAAUAAACAUUAUUGAACAGUUUUGUAUCAGAGGCAGCUGUUUCAACAGAACAGCUGUUAAAGUGAGUGUUCAUCAGCCACCAGGUACAUCUACAGAUGAGGUGACUAACAAUUCCCAAAACAUAAGAAGAAUUUAACUUUUUUUUAUUUCCAAUGAACGGUGACCAAUGGAUGUUCUAAUUCCACUCCUUUUCAUGUUUGCCCAGGACAAAGUGGAGUUUAAUCACUUCCUGCUUGAGGUGAAGAGGUUUCUCCCAAAGACGUGACUGGAGAACGUUUGGCAGGAAAUUCAUACAGAGUAAUAACAUGGCCACUUACAGGACAAACCCUUCACUACAAAACAGCAACACAGUAUCAUGUUCAGACAUCGUUUCAAACACACAAGAUGUCUUUAAUUCACGU